rnacentral:rRNA from 1 species
ACGUACACUCCUACGGGAGGCAGCAGUGGGGAAUAUUGCACAAUGGGCGCAAGCCUGAUGCAGCCAUGCCGCGUGUAUGAAGAAGGCCUUCGGGUUGUAAAGUACUUUCAGCGGGGAGGAAGGCAAUACGGUUAAUAACCGUGUUGAUUGACGUUACCCGCAGAAGAAGCACCGGCUAACUCCGUGCCAGCAGCCGCGGUAAUACGGAGGGUGCAAGCGUUAAUCGGAAUUACUGGGCGUAAAGCGCACGCAGGCGGUCUGUCAAGUCGGAUGUGAAAUCCCCGGGCUCAACCUGGGAACUGCAUUCGAAACUGGCAGGCUUGAGUCUUGUAGAGGGGGGUAGAAUUCCAGGUGUAGCGGUGAAAUGCGUAGAGAUCUGGAGGAAUACCGGUGGCGAAGGCGGCCCCCUGGACAAAGACUGACGCUCAGGUGCGAAAGCGUGGGGAGCAAACAGGAUUAGAUACCCGUGUAGUCC